UACGUAGGGUGCGAGCGUUGUCCGGAAUUACUGGGCGUAAAGAGCUCGUAGGUGGUUUGUCGCGUUGUUCGUGAAAACUCACAGCUUAACUGUGGGCGUGCGGGCGAUACGGGCAGACUGGAGUACUGCAGGGGAGACUGGAAUUCCUGGUGUAGCGGUGAAAUGCGCAGAUAUCAGGAGGAACACCGGUGGCGAAGGCGGGUCUCUGGGAAGUAACUGACGCUGAGAAGCGAAAGCGUGGGUAGCGAACAGG
rnacentral:rRNA from 1 species